rnacentral:lncRNA from 1 species
CUUCCCCUUUAUGUUUGCCCGUUCUCUUGAUUGCCGCUUUCUCUUCCAUCUUUCCCUUCCCCUUCCUUUUACUUUUCCCUUCUGUUUCUUCCCUUACUUCCCUUCUUUUUUGGGAAGCUGUAUUUAUCUUGUAUUUACUUUUGUAUUUAUCUUACGCCUUUUUAGAGGUUGUGCCUGCUUCUGCUGGCUUCCCAAAAAAGGAACAAGGAGCUCUACAGUAGAGCCUGGAAGCGUGAGGUGGCUGGGCGCGCCUCUGCCCCGUGCCUGUGCUCCUUCCUUCCCCCUGAAAACAUCACCACAUGAGAUUUUGAUAGGAUUCUUUUUACUCUAUUUGUUUUUCUUUUCCUUCCAUCUUUUCUGUUCUCCUUUCUCUUUUUCUUCCCUAUUUAAUUUUCAUUUUCUCUUUGCUUCCCCAUUUCCUUCCCUCUUUUUUCUUGCUUUUUUUUCCUUCCCUUUUAUUUUUCCCUUUCCCUUUAUUUCCCUUUCUCUAUCCCUUCCCUUUUUCUUUUCUCUUUUCUAUUCUUUUCUUUGGGGAAGCUGUAUUUAUCUUGUAUUUACUUAUGUAUUUAUCUUACUUUGAUAUGUUACGUGCACUGCUUUUGCU